rnacentral:lncRNA from 1 species
UACAGCUACAUGUAUUGAACCACUACGCAUCAUGCGACAGCGUGCCCUAGGAUAUUAAACAGAAACAAAGUAAGUGUCUCGUUCACUUCCGUAAGACUGACACAUAUAAAAAGAUCUUUUUCCUUCUGGCAACAUUAAGACUUUUAUCACUUCACCGACACACAUCCACGAUGACCUUGAGGUCGGUAGCGACAUCAUCCGUCAGGGCCAGGGCAAUGCAGUAAAGAGGCUCAGUGAAGAGGAAAACUGGGGGGGUCAGCCAGAGGCUCAUGAAUAAAUGCUAAAGGCCAACCAGGGCCACUGAAAGUGGAUAGCAUUUUCAGAAAAUUUGGACCAAUCUUUGUAUCAUAUGUUUGUAAGAAAGUUUUUGAAAAGUCAGCUUCAGAAAAUUGAUUACCUCUAGUGUUUAUCUAUACAUUAUAAGUGGAUGGAGGUUGGAUGGCAAUGUGUGAAAUACGUAUUGCCAGCAUGUUAUGGAAGGGGAAUGCACUGACCGCAUGGAUUGGACAAGUUCACCGUGCAGCUCACCAGGCUGUAGCUGCAGUCCAGCAGUCCCAGAGUAAGACGAGCAUGCAGAGGGGUUGUGUUUAAGGCAAGAAUUGCACAGCUGCCCUCACACAGCAUAACAGGUAGAUUCAGUGAUAUGACUGGGAGAUGUCUAGUUGCCACAAUGUACGCUGCCCAUGUGGAAGAGGCUUGUUCUAGGAGAGGAUCAGAUACCGGAUUACUGUUGGAAAUUUUUGACGAUUAUUCCACUUGGAGGACAUUGAAUUUCCCAGGAGUGAUCUGAACUUAGCAAUGUAGCGUCUUAUUGAUGCUCAUUGUUUCCAUGCUGUCUGCAAGACUUACAGUAGAUAUAUCCUGUCUGUUGGGUGAAUGUAGUUCUUUUAUAAAAAGGGGGAAUGAGUAGUGCAAGGUUUUUGUCUGCCAGUCAUGGGCUCUAAAACCUCUCCAUCUAGAAUUUUCUUAGCUCAACACAUGCAAACCUGUUUGUAAACACAACUCUCACCAGGACAGACAGAGUGAAACAGACUGAUUGACUCAUUUGUGUAACAGUUGUUUCUCUCUGACUUAACAGCUGUGGCCACGAAGACAAUUUGUUCGCAU